ensembl:lncRNA
GUAGUGACAGUAGUGACAGUAGUGACAAUAGUGACAGUAGUGACAGUAGUGACAGUAGUGACAGUAGCGAAAAAUCCUUUUUAAACGGUGAAAUCCUUAGCGAAGAAGAAAUUAACGAACAUAUGAAGUUUCAACAGUGGAGUGAUAAACUGGUAUGGUCAGACAAAGACUCGUUUUUCUACGACAAAAAUAAUAAAUGUUUAAAUACAAAGGAAUACGAAAAGAUUAAUCAAAUAAAUGAAAAGUUUUAUAAAAAUAAAUAUAUAUUAGAUGAUUGUUCCGUACAGUUAAUACCCUUUGAAUAUGUAAAAGAAAAAAAAGAAAAAUGUCAAUCCGUAACAAGAAUUAUAAAUUCAAAUAAAAAAUUAAGUUAUGACAUGUACAUAAAUAAAAAUCAAGGUAUGUUACAACCUGAAGUUAUUAGAAAAAAUGAGAAAAGUAAUGAUAAUAGUAUAGAUAAUAGCAUAGAUAAUAGCACUAAUCCUAACCAACAGAAUAUAACAAUUUCUACUAUAAUGGAUGAAGCAGAAGUUGAAAAGUUAAAGUCAACAAGUGACAUAAAUUUAUUAAAAAGAAUUAAUUUUAUAUUCCCAGUUGAAUCUUUAUAUACUAGUAUUUACAUUGGUAAAGAAGCUUUUAAUGAUUUUUUAGAAAAAGGAUUAAAUACUAUAAAAUCUGUUUUAAAUAAAAAUUUAUUAUUUUAUUAUGAACAUAACAUAAAAAAAGAUGAAACAGAAGAUAAAAUUUUACUUAUGUUUAUCCUAAAAUAUAUAAAAAAGUAUUUUUUACAUAUUAUAUAUAAAACAUAUAAAAAUAAAAUAUUGAACGAGAUGGAAAUUGAACAAGGUAUUAAUGUACAAUUAAGUGAUGAAAAUAAAAAAGUGUUACAUGGUGAAAUAUUUGCAGAAUAUGAAUAUGAAUAUGAAAACAUAAUUAAUAUAUUAAUUCAUUUUAUUAAAAAAAUAGAAAAUAUGUUUAAAAUAAAUGAAAAUGAUUUAUUAGAAUAUUUAAAAAAAAAAAAACCAAUAAUAAAUUAUACUACACCUUAUUCAUUUAAUAGUAAUAAAGAAAUAGAAACACAUAUAAAAAAUAUAUGGACUUUUUUUAAUUUUCAAAUUUUUCAAAAUAAAUUACCAUCUUUUGACAUUUUAAAUUUCUUUUGGAUUAACAGUAAAACAGAAAAUUUAUUACAUAUACCUGAUAUAAAAACAUAUAACAUUAUUAAUCAAAAUUUUAUUUCGUUGCCUAAUAUUUCAUUUUUGUCAGCUUUAAAGACUUCACCUUUGUUAUUAAAUUAUACUAUACUUAAAGUAAUGUAUGACUAUUAUAAAUUAAUAAAUGUAGAUAAAAUAUUAUUAUUUAAACAAAUUAAAGAUUAUGAAUCUAAUAAAAAAUUAGAUCUUAUGCAUCAAAAUAUUAUUAAAUUUGUUCAUGGUAUAUCAGGUUUAUUAGAAAAUAUAGAUUUUUAUUUUUAUACACCUUAUUUAGGAGAUUUAAAUUUAUCAGAUACUGAAUCAUUAGUUUUUUUUUCUUACUUAAGGGAUGUUACUUCAUCUAGUGAUAAAUUAUUUUACAAUUUAGAGUAUGAUAAUGAUACAUUUUUGUAUAAUCACUAUACUAACGAGCGGAGUAAUGAGCGGAGUAA